rnacentral:rRNA from 1 species
AGGACGUACGCUGGCGUCGUGCCUAAUACAUGCAAGUCGAGCGGACAGAUGGGAGCUUGCUCCCUGAUGUUAGCGGCGGACGGGUGAGUAACACGUGGGUAACCUGCCUGUAAGACUGGGAUAACUCCGGGAAACCGGGGCUAAUACCGGAUGGUUGUUUGAACCGCAUGGUUCAAACAUAAAAGGUGGCUUCGGCUACCACUUACAGAUGGACCCGCGGCGCAUUAGCUAGUUGGUGAGGUAACGGCUCACCAAGGCAACGAUGCGUAGCCGACCUGAGAGGGUGAUCGGCCACACUGGGACUGAGACACGGCCCAGACUCCUACGGGAGGCAGCAGUAGGGAAUCUUCCGCAAUGGACGAAAGUCUGACGGAGCAACGCCGCGUGAGUGAUGAAGGUUUUCGGAUCGUAAAGCUCUGUUGUUAGGGAAGAACAAGUACCGUUCGAAUAGGGCGGUACCUUGACGGUACCUAACCAGAAAGCCACGGCUAACUACGUGCCAGCAGCCGCGGUAAUACGUAGGUGGCAAGCGUUGUCCGGAAUUAUUGGGCGUAAAGGGCUCGCAGGCGGUUUCUUAAGUCUGAUGUGAAAGCCCCCGGCUCAACCGGGGAGGGUCAUUGGAAACUGGGGAACUUGAGUGCAGAAGAGGAGAGUGGAAUUCCACGUGUAGCGGUGAAAUGCGUAGAGAUGUGGAGGAACACCAGUGGCGAAGGCGACUCUCUGGUCUGUAACUGACGCUGAGGAGCGAAAGCGUGGGGAGCGAACAGGAUUAGAUACCCUGGUAGUCCACGCCGUAAACGAUGAGUGCUAAGUGUUAGGGGGUUUCCGCCCCUUAGUGCUGCAGCUAACGCAUUAAGCACUCCGCCUGGGGAGUACGGUCGCAAGACUGAAACUCAAAGGAAUUGACGGGGGCCCGCACAGCGGUGGAGCAUGUGGUUUAAUUUCGAAGCAACGCGAAAAACCUU